rnacentral:rRNA from 1 species
AUUCCGGUUGAUUCUGCCGGAGGUCAUUGCUAUUGGGGUCCGAUUUAGCCAUGCUAGUUGCACGAGUUCACACUCGUGGCGAAAAGCUCAGUAACACGUGGCCAAACUACCCUACAGAGAACGAUAACCUCGGGAAACUGAGGCUAAUAGUUCAUACGGGAGUCAUGCUUGAAUGCCGACUCCCCGAAACGCUCCGGCGCUGUAGGAUGUGGCUGCGGCCGAUUAGGUAGACGGUGGGGUAACGGCCCAGCGUGCCAAUAAUCGGUACGGGUUGUGAGAGCAAGAACCCGGAGACGGAAUCUGAGACAAGAUUCCGGGCCCUACGGGGCGCAGCAGGCGCGAAACCUUUACACUGCACGCAAGUGCGAUAAGGGGACCCCAAGUGCGAGGGCAUAUAGUCCUCGCUUUUCUCGACUGUAAGGCGGUCGAGGAAUAAGAGCUGGGCAAGACCGGUGCCAGCCGCCGCGGUAAUACCGGCAGCUCAAGUGAUGACCGAUAUUAUUGGGCCUAAAGCGUCCGUAGCCGGCCAUGAAGGUUCAUCGGGAAAUCCGCCAGCUCAACUGGCGGGCGUCCGGUGAAAACCACAUGGCUUGGGACCGGAAGGCUCGAGGGGUACGUCUGGGGUAGGAGUGAAAUCCUGUAAUCCUGGACGGACCACCGAUGGCGAAAGCACCUCGAGAAGACGGAUCCGACGGUGAGGGACGAAAGCUAGGGUCUCGAACCGGAUUAGAUACCCGGGUAGUCCUAGCUGUAAACGAUGCUCGCUAGGUGUGGUACAGGCUACGAGCCUGUCUUGUGCCGUAGGGAAGCCCGUGAACGAGCCGCCUGGGAAGUACGUCCGCAAGGAUGAAACUUAAAGGAAUUGGCGGGGGAGCACUAC